rnacentral:rRNA from 1 species
UACGUAGGGUGCGAGCGUUAAUCGGAAUUACUGGGCGUAAAGCGCGCGCAGGCGGCCCGCGAGGUGUCACGUGAAAGCCCACGGCUCAACCGUGGAGGGUCAUUGGAAACUGGGGGACUUGAGUGCAGAAGAGGAGAGUGGAAUUCCACGUGUAGCGGUGAAAUGCGUAGAGAUGUGGAGGAACACCAGCGGCGGAGGCGACUCUCUGGUCUGUAACUGACGCUGAGGCGCGAAAGCGUGGGGAGCAAACAGG